GUUUCCGUGGUGUAGUGGUUAUCACGUCCGUCUCACACGCGGAAGGACGCAGGUUCGAGUCCUGCCGGAAACA
rnacentral:tRNA from 1 species